UACGGGAGGCAGCAGUGGGGAAUAUUGCACAAUGGGCGCAAGCCUGAUGCAGCCAUGCCGCGUGUAUGAAAAAGGCCUUCGGGUUGUAAAGUACUUUCAGUCGUGAGGAAGGUGUUAAGGUUAAUAACCUUAGCAAUUGACGUUAGCGACAGAAGAAGCACCGGCUAACUCCGUGCCAGCAGCCGCGGUAAUACGGAGGGUGCGAGCGUUAAUCGGAAUUACUGGGCGUAAAGGGCACGCAGGCGGUUAAUUAAGUUGGAUGUGAAAUCCCCGGGCUUAACCUGGGAAUGGCAUUCAAGACUGGUUAGCUAGAGUCUUGUAGAGGGGGUAGAAUUCCAUGUGUAGCGGUGAAAUGCGUAGAGAUGUGGAGGAAUACCGGUGGCGAAGGCGGCCCCUGGACAAAGACUGACGCUCAUGUGCGAAAGCGUGGGGAGCGAAACAGGGAUUAGAU
rnacentral:rRNA from 1 species